GAGCUCCCUGCGGCAGCACAUAUACUAAAAUUGGAACUAUACAGAGAUUAGCAUGGCCACAGAGCACAGAUGACAUGCAAAUUCAUGAAGCAUUCCAUAUUUUU